rnacentral:misc_RNA from 1 species
UUUCCGUUGGUGAACCUGCGGAAGGAUCAUUACUGAGUGAGGGCCCUCUGGGUCCAACCUCCCACCCGUGUUUAUUGUACCUUGUUGCUUCGGUGAGCCCGCCUCACCGCCGCCGGGAGGCAUCUGCCCCCGGGUCCGCCCUCGCCGAAGACACCAUUGAACUCUGUCUGAAGUUUGCAGUCUGAGCAAAAACUAAAUAAGUUAAAACUUUCAACAACGGAUCUCUUGGUUCCG